GGUACCACGCUGAGUAUUGUUAUCCCGAUAGUUCUUUCGUAUCAGUCCGUGUGUAUUCCUGGGCGAAUGUGCUCGUGUGGUCUCAGGAGUUGGGGAGGUCACGGCUCUGGGACAGCCGUUUCAUCGCCCUAUGCUGCAGGGAAAAAAGCAAUGAAAGUGCCGUUAAUGUUUUGCACGGCGAGCUGCUGCAUACUAACCGGUCUCACACCAUUACCAUCACCUUGCCCUUGUGAAGGCAGAUAUGGAUAAGGUUCUCAAAGCUGAUAGAAGAUUGAAACCACUCUAAUCCUGUGACGAUGAACCUACCCCGGAAGAGAGAGCCCAGAGAAUUGCCAAAGCUGUCCGCAAACAGUCAACAGAAGUGAAGGAAAAUUGGGUGCAAUUGAAAACCCGUGCGAGCAACUGGCAGAAACAGGUGGAAAAGGCGUUGGAGAAACUUCAAGAACUGCAGAAAGCGCUGGAUGAUCUUGAGGCUCAUGUGAUAACAGCUGAGGGGGUCCACACUGAUUGGCAACCUGUGGGUGACCUGCUUCUUGACUCAUUGCAGGAUCACAUUGAUAAAACCACAGGUAAGGACUAUCUGCAAAAUCUGAGAUUGGGUUUUGAAAGACAGCAGCCUUUGUUUUGGAGAGAUAAUGGGAACUGCAGAUGCUGGAGAAUGCGAGAUAACACCGUGUGGAACUGGAUGAAGACAGCAGGCCAAGCAGCAUCUCAGGAGCACAAAAGCUGACGUUUCGGGCCGAGAACCUUCUUCAGAAAAUGGGGAGGGGGUGCGGGUUCUGGAAUAAAUAGGGAGAGAGGGGGAGGCGGAUGGAAGAUGGAUGGAGGAGAAGAUAGGUGGAGAGGAGAGUAUGGGUAGGGAGGCAGGGAGGGGAUAGGUCAGUCUGGGGAGGCCGGACAGGUCAAGGGAGCGGGAUGAGGGGAAAUAGGGGUGCGGCAUGAGGUGGGAGGGGGGAUGGGUGAGAGGAAGAAUAGGUUUGGGAGGCAGGGACGAGCUGGGCUGGUUUUGGGAUGCAGCGGCAGGACAGGAGAUUUGGAAGCUUGUGAAAUCCACACUGAUACCAUUGGGCUGCAGGGUUCCCAAGCAGAAUAUGAGUUGCUGUUCCUGCAACCUUCGGGUGGCGUCAUUAUGGCACUGCAGGAGGUCCAGGUUGGACAUGUCCUCUCAGGAAUGGGAGGGGGAGUUGAAAUGGUUCGUGACUGGGAGGUGCAGUUGUUUAUUGCAAACUGAGUGUAGGUGUUCUGAAAAGCGGUCCCCAAGCCUCUGCAUCGUUUCCCCAAUGUGGAGGAAGCCACAACGGGGACAGCGGAUGUUUUGGAUAUUUCUUAAGCAUUGAUUUUCAUUCAGAGUUGGUUGGAUUUUGCUGAAGCAAUAGACAUAACUCACUAUGACAUAGACAAUGUCAGAGUUAAUGUUUCGCGUCCUGUGACCCUUCCUCAGAUCUCACUCUUCACUGAUGCUGCCAGACCUGCUGAGCUUUUCCAGCAACUUCUGCUUUUGUUGCUGAUUUACAGUGCCCACAGUUAGAACAUAGAACAUAGAACAGUACAGCACAGAAAAGGCCCUUCAGCCCACAAUGUUGUGCCGACCAUUGAUCCUCAUGUAUGCACCCUCAAAUUUCUGUGACCAUAUACAUGUCCAGCAGUCUCUGAAAUGACCCCAAUGACCUUGCUUCCACAACUGCUGCUGGCAACGCAUUCCAUGCUCUCACAACUCUCUGCGUAAAGAACCUGCCUCUGACAUCCCCUCUAUACUUUCCACUAACCAGCUUAAAACUAUGACCCCUCGUGCUAGCCAUUUCUGCCCUGGGAAAUAGUCUCUGGCUAUCAACUCUAUCUAUGCCUCUCAUUAUCUUGUAUACCUCAAUGAGGUCCCCUCUCCUCCUCCUUUUCUCCAAUGAAAAGAGACCGAGCUCAGUCAACCUCUCUUCAUAAGAUAAGCCCUCCAGUCCAGGCAGCAUCCUGGUAAACCUCCUCUGAAUCCUCUCCAAAGCAUCCACAUCUUUCCUAUAAUAGGGCGCCCAGAACUGGACGCAGUAUUCCAAGUGCGGUCUAACCAAAGUUUUAUAGAGCUGCAACAAGAUCUCACGACUCUGAAACUCAAUCCCCCUGUAACUGAAAGCCAAAACACCAUAUGCUUUCUUAACAACCCUGUCCACUUGGGUGGCCAUUUUAAGGGAUCUAUGUAUCUGCACACCAAGAUCCCUCUGUUCCUCCACGCUGCCAAGAAUCCUAUCCUUAAUCCUGUACUCAGCUUUCAAAUUCGACCUUCCAAAAUGCAUCACCUCGCAUUUAUCCAGGUUGAACUCCAUCUGCCACCUCUCAGCCCAUCUCUGCAUCCUGUCAAUGUCCCGCUGCAGCCUACAGCAGCCCUCUACACUGUCAACGACACCUCCGACCUUUGUGUCGUCUGCAAACUUGCUGACCCAUCCUUCAAUUCCCUCGUCCAAGUCAUUAAUAAAAAUUACAAACAGUAGAGGCCCAAGGACAGAGCCCUGUGGAACUCCACUCACCACUGACUUCCAGGCAGAAUAUUUUCCUUCUACUACCACUCGCUGUCUUCUGUUGGCCAGCCAAUUCUGUAUCCAAGCAGCUAAGUUCCCCUGUAUCCCAUUCCUCCUGACCUUCUGAAUGAGCCUACCAUGGGGAACCUUAUCAAAUGCCUUACUGAAGUCCAGAAACACCACAUCCACAGCUCGACCCUCAUCAACCUUUCUAGUCACAUCCUCAAAAAACUCAAUAAGGUUUGUAAGGCAUGACCUACCCCUCACAAAGCCGUGUUGACUGUAUUUGAUCAAGCCAUGCUCUUCCAGAUGGUCAUAAAUCUUAUCCCUCAGAAUCCUUUCUAACACCUUGCAGACGACAGACGUGAGACUUACCGGUCUGUAAUUGCCGGGGAUUUCCCUAUUUCCUUUCUUGAAGAGAGGAAUUACAUUUGCCUCUCUCCAGUCCUCAGGUACGACUCCAGUGGAGAGCGAGGAUGCAAAGAUCUUCGCAAGUGGCGAAGCAAUUGCAUUUCUCGCUUCCCAAAGCAGCCGAGGACAAAUCUGAUCCGGGCCUGGCGACUUGUCAAUCUUAAUGUUUGACAAAAUUUUCAGCACAUCAGCUUCGUCUAUCUCUAUCCAUUCCAGCAUGCACACCUGCUCUUCAAAGGUUUCAUUCACUACAAAGUUAGUUUCUUUCGUAAAGACAGAAGCAAAAAACUCAUUUAGGGCUUCCCCUACCUCCUCAGGCUCCACACACAAGUUCCCUAUGCCAUCCCUGAUCGGCCCGAUGACGCAGGCAAAACUCUAUCUCUGCAGGUAGCAUGAUGCUGUGUUCUCAAACUUGCCUGCCUUAUAAAGUAGAAAAUCAGUGUGGUUUGUUUUCCAAAAUGUGAUGUGUAAGUGCAACACUUAACAGUGUGUUCAUCAAACUAUUGUUUCCUUUGAUCUUUGUGUUGCAGAAAUUUCUAGAAUCAUUUCAUAUAUAUUUUUCUUGAUAUAUUUUAGCAGCUUUCCUGGAGCAAGUCUGGUUUCCUUCGGAUGAGACGACUUUCAGACAUACUCCCUUUAUUAUGAGAUUUAAUUGCGGUAAAAUGAGGAGGAUUUUUAUUCACUGAGACACACAUGACUAUAUGUUUAAAGCAUUGGAAAAUGCGUUCUGUUCGGACUGUCAUGUUAUCUGGUGUUUGUACCAGGCUUUCCGAUUAAAUGCAAGUGAUUAAGGAUGCUAA